rnacentral:rRNA from 1 species
AGCCUACGGGGGGCAGCAGUGGGGGAUAUUGCACAAUGGGGGGAACCCUGAUGCAGCGACGCCGCGUGGGUGAUGACGGCCUUCGGGUUGUAAAGCUCUGUCUUCAGGGACGAUAAUGACGGUACCUGAGGAGGAAGCCACGGCUAACUACGUGCCAGCAGCCGCGGUAAUACGUAGGUGGCGAGCGUUGUCCGGAUUUACUGGGCGUAAAGGGAGCGUAGGCGGACUUUUAAGUGAGAUGUGAAAUACUCGGGCUCAACUUGAGUGCUGCAUUUCAAACUGGAAGUCUAGAGUGCGUGAGAGGG